GUAGUCUCGCACAGAUGCAUAUCAAUAAGCGGAGGAAAAGAAACUAACAAGGAUUCCCCUAGUAACGGCGAGUGAAGCGGGAAGAGCUCAAAUUUGAAAUCUUAAAGGGUUUCCCUUUACGAAUUGUAGUUUAAAGAAGUGUUUUCUGUUGAGGUUUUGGUAAAAGUUCUUUGGAAUAGGACAUCAUAGAGGGUGAGAAUCCCGUAUUUGACCUUUACUUUCAACUUUGUGAUACACUUUCAAAGAGUCGGAUUGUUUGGGAAUGCAGUCCAAAAUGGGUGGUAAAUUUCAUCUAAAGCUAAAUAUUGGCGAGAGACCGAUAGCGAACAAGUACCGUGAGGGAAAGAUGAAAAGAACUUUGAAAAGAGAGUUAAACAGUACGUGAAAUUGUCAAAAGGGAAGCGUUUGACACCAGUGUUGUUUUUCUGAAAAUCAAUUAAAGAACUGUUUAUGCUAAGCUAGUUUAGACUUUAUCAGCUAUACUGUUUAGUUUUGAGCUUUUCUUUAAUGCACUUUUCAGUUAACAAGUCAACAUCAAUUUCUUUUGCUGUAAAAAAGCUUGAGGAAGGUGGCUUGAGAUUCGUCUUAAGUGUUUAUAGCCUCUUGCCUAUGCAGUCGGAGAGAUUGAGGUCUGCAGCGUAGAUCCUUCGGGGCUAAAUGCAUUUGUGCUAAGUUAUAGCAUUUUAUAGACAACUUGUUGACUAUGAUUUGUCUUGUAGCUUACUCGCUUAUGUUAUUUUACCUACGCUUAGGAUGUUGAACUACUGAGACAUAGA
rnacentral:rRNA from 1 species